AUCGACCCCGGGUCUCCCUCAUUGUGGGCAAACGCUUUAACCUCUGAGCUACCAGGGAAGCCCAAGUGAAAGGGAGUGACUAAAAAUCUCACCCCAUUAGGGAUUUCCCUCCUGGUCUAGAGGUUAAGACUCCAAGCUUCCAAUGCUGGUGGUUUGGGCUCUAUCCCUGGGUGGGGAGCUAAAAUCCCAUAUGCUUCCUGCCAUAAAUCCAAAAUCUAAAACAGAAGCAAUAUAAUAAGGUUUAUUUUUUUAAUGAUCUACAUCAAAUAAAUAAAUAAAAAUAUAUCUCCCCACCUACUUCUGGGAGUGUUAGAAUCCAGGACUACAUUGCCCACAGGUUUGGAGGAAAAAGUAGAAUAACCAAGAAACCUGAGAAAAACAAACUGUCCCUCCCAUUUUUCUAAAUUACCCAGUCAGUAGUGUGACUUGGCACACUCCAGAGCAGGUCAGGACUCCCGUUUCAAGGGUGAAUUUUUCCACCCUUCCUAGCUCCCUGGACUCUCACUCUUUUCUGCUAGGUGGAGGGGAACUUCCUCCCUUCCAUUAACAAAGGUCCUGGGGCUCCCAGUCUCUAUCAUUGCCGGCUAGGGUCCAUAUCACCUGGCCUACCUUGAGUUUCCUGACCUAACUCUGACUCUCUCCAGCCCUGGAAGGACAGAACACUUCGACGCCCGGGGACCGGCCUGUUCCAGCCACCACCGCCCGUGAGAGAUGGAGGGAGUGGCUGGACCACGCAGCGCCUGUGGCUAGAGGUAGCCAGAGUUCCGGCUCAAGUCGGGGAAGGAGAGAGGGCGUGGUUUCGGGGGAGGGCGUGGUCUCGGGUGGGGCGAGGUGUUAGGUUUGAGGGUGUGGCCGCUCCUGAAAGACCGCCCCUGUGUCCUGCUGCCCCUCUGUCAAGCUGCGGGGCCGCUGCAGCUUCGCCCAGUCUGGGUUAAAGCAGCCGCCCCGGGCUCGGCUCGGGCUCCUCUGUCCCAGGCGGUGACCCCGGACGGCCCCGGACUCGUGCUGCCCUUGGCUUCCCGCUCUCAAGUCGAGGGUUUGGAUACCGAGGGGCGAGGAAGGAAGACCUCAGAGUCAACAUUCAAGAUGGCUUGUCUGGGAGAAGAAAAAGAGGUGAUUUUUAGAGCCAUUCCACAUUCACUCAUAAUGAAUACAUUAAUUUUUUGACAUCCCCCUUAACAUUUUUUUUUACUUUUUGUUAUGUAUAAAACUACCUGUAAGCAAAAUGCAAAGGAAAAAGAACAGUUUCCUGCCCUCUAAACAUUCAUAGUAUGGUUCAGGUAACUGACACAGGAAGAAUUAGAGCAGAAUGAUCAGAGCUCCUUAAAGGUAGAAAAGGAAGUGCUGGGAGUUGAGGAGUGCAAUAUAUCACCCAGUAGAGGCUCAAAGGAGUUACAAUUCAGUUUCAGUUCUGAAGGCUCCAUUUUUACAGGAGUUUGCCAGGAGGAAAUUAUGAGGAAGAGCAUUCCAGGCCAAAGAAACUGUUGUGUGAAGGUCUCAUAGGGUGAAAGAACAUGACAAACACAAAUCUUCAUACAUAUUGUUU
rnacentral:lncRNA from 1 species